CUACGGGGCGCAGCAGUGGGGAAUCUUGCACAAUGGGGGCAACCCUGAUGCAGCGACGCCGCGUGAGCGAUGAAGCCCUUCGGGGUGUAAAGCUCUUUCGACGGGAACGAUAAUGACGGUACCCGGAGAAGAAGCUGCGGCUAACUACGUGCCAGCAGCCGCGGUAAUACGUAGGCAGCAAGCGUUGUUCGGAGUUACUGGGCGUAAAGAGUGCGUAGGCGGUUGACCAAGUCUGUCGUGAAAUCUCCUGGCUUAACUGGGAGGGUGCGGUGGAAACUGGUUGGCUUGAGAGUGGGAGAGGUAAGCGGAAUUCCUGGUGUAGCGGUGAAAUGCGUAGAUAUCAGGAGGAACACCGGUGGUGUAGACGGCUUACUGGACCACGACUGACGCUGAGGCACGAAAGCGUGGGUAGCAAACAGGAUUAGAUACCCCGGUAGUC
rnacentral:rRNA from 1 species